rnacentral:rRNA from 1 species
UGGGGAAUAUUGCACAAUGGGCGCAAGCCUGAUGCAGCCAUGCCGCGUGUGUGAAGAAGGCCUUCGGGUUGUAAAGCACUUUCAACGGGGAGGAAGGCGAUAAGGUUAAUAACCUUGUCGAUUGACGUUACCCGCAGAAGAAGCACCGGCUAACUCCGUGCCAGCAGCCGCGGUAAUACGGAGGGUGCAAGCGUUAAUCGGAAUUACUGGGCGUAAAGCGCACGCAGGCGGUCUGUCAAGUCGUAUGUGAAAUCCCCGGGCUCAACCUGGGAACUGCAUUCGAAACUGGCAGGCUAGAGUCUUGUAGAGGGGGGUAGAAUUCCAGGUGUAGCGGUGAAAUGCGUAGAGAUCUGGAGGAAUACCGGUGGCGAAGGCGGCCCCCUGGACAAAGACUGACGCUCAGGUGCGAAAGCGUGGGGAGCAAACAGG